rnacentral:lncRNA from 1 species
GUGCUUGGAAGCUGAUGUAAGUCCAUCGAGUGGCAUUCGGGUUCCAGUGUGGGUUUGUUUUGGUUCGGAUGCUGAUGUAAGUCCAAGUGAUUGGCAUUCAGGCUCCACGUUUGCCUUCUUGUGUGUGUUUUGGUUCGGAUGCUGAUGUAAGUCCAGUGAUUGGCAUUUAGGCUCCACGUUUGUGUUUGUUUGUGUGCGUGUUAGCCGAGCUACGAAUGCUCUGAUUCUCC